GUGCCUGCUUCGGCAGCACAUAUACUAAAAUUGGAACGAUACAGAGAUUAGCAAGGCCCCUGCGCAAGGAUGACACGCAAAUUUGUGAAGCGUUCCAUAUUUUU
rnacentral:snRNA from 1 species